rnacentral:rRNA from 1 species
AUGCUUCUCACGCCUGCUCACACCGAUGAGUUCCGGUGGUGCAAGUCCACUCACAUCCCUCCCGGAGGGGCCAGGCUCGGCUCGUCAUCUCACAGUUCCUGCAAGUGUUGGCUAAUCAUGGCUAGAGUUUUGCAUGUCUUCGAGCAAGUGGGCAGGAUAGGCACGAGUACAGACUUUGUAGAUGACAAACAACGGUUUGUGAUCAGUGAUGACAUGAGAAUCAAGCCAGCAUCCACCAGCAGCAUGCAGUCCCUGCCGCAGGCGUUUGGUUCUGAUGGGACCGUCCAUAACUUUGAGGUGGUCGAACAGUUGGUUGGGUGGGAGCAGGUUUUGUCCAUGCUGAAGGCCUCUCCUUCAUCAAAUACAGUACUCACUGAUGCAUUUCUUGCAAAUGGAACCGAUGAUAUGGCUGCCCGUGCUACCGUGAAAGUGAAGCCGAGUAUCAAUCACAAAAUUCUACCGUCCGAUCAGGAUGCUGCAGGUCUCUUUUCACAAGAAAGUAAGAUCAAGGUCUUCUUCGACACCCGUGAGAAGAAGGUCAUGUAUGCGGAAUGCAACCAUGAGUUCAUCGACCUGCUCCUUGGAUUCUUGACUUACCCUAUCAGCUGUGUGAUCAAAACCACGGGGCCUGGCGCUUGCCAUCUUGGAAGGUGGUCCGACAAUCUCUAUGGAAGCGUCACCGAUCUCCUCAAUGCUAAGUGCUUCACGAGAUGCCUCGCCCCUAUGAUGUUACUGGAUCCAAGCGCUAUGCCGUUUAUCGCUUUGAGCAACAUGACGUGCCAUGCGGCCCUUAACUGCGGCUGCCCCAAGGAUGAUAUAUUACCGUACUGCUUCCGUCGUGAGCUUGUUGAGAGCGGGAGGUAUGUAGUGGAUGAUGAUCUACUUGUACAUCAGGGCUCUGCCAUGUCUGUGAUGAAGCAUUGGUGUGGGAGAAACAAGGUUAUGGUACUGGAAAUGGACAUUACCAUCGGGAAGCCGGAGGCCCUUGCGCUGCUGAGAGCGAUGCUUACCUCGAAGGCGGUGCUCACCGCACAAAGUUCCUUUGUAGCUCGUCCUACAUAG